UGCUAAUACCGGAUAACAACAGAUGAUGCCUAUCAACUGUUUAAAAGAAUGGUUCUGCUAUCACUCUUGGAUGGACCUGCGGUGCAUUAGCUAGUUGGUAGGGUAACGGCCUACCAAGGCGAUGAUGCAUAGCCGAGUUGAGAGACUGAUCGGCCACAUUGGGACUGAGACACGGCCCAAACUCCUACGGGAGGCAGCAG
rnacentral:rRNA from 1 species